rnacentral:rRNA from 1 species
GACGAACGCUGGCGGCGUGCCUAAUACAUGCAAGUUGAGCGCUGAAGGUUGGUACUUGUACCGACUGGAUGAGCAGCGAACGGGUGAGUAACGCGUGGGGAAUCUGCCUUUGAGCGGGGGACAACAUUUGGAAACGAAUGCUAAUACCGCAUAAAAACUUUAAACACAAGAUUUAAGUUUGAAAGAUGCAAUUGCAUCACUCAAAGAUGAUCCCGCGUUGUAUUAGCUAGUUGGUGAGGUAAAGGCUCACCAAGGCGAUGAUACAUAGCCGACCUGAGAGGGUGAUCGGCCACAUUGGGACUGAGACACGGCCCAAACUCCUACGGGAGGCAGCAGUAGGGAAUCUUCGGCAAUGGACGAAAGUCUGACCGAGCAACGCCGCGUGAGUGAAGAAGGUUUUCGGAUCGUAAAACUCUGUUGGUAGAGAAGAACGUUGGUGAGAGUGGAAAGCUCAUCAAGUGACGGUAACUACCCAGAAAGGGACGGCUAACUACGUG